CCUACGGGCGGCAGCAGUGGGGAAUAUUGGACAAUGGGGGGAACCCUGAUCCAGCCAUGCCGCGUGUGUGAAGAAGGCCCUCGGGUUGUAAAGCACUUUCAGUGAGGAAGAACGCCUGGUGGUUAAUACCCAUCAGGAAAGACAUCACUCACAGAAGAAGCCCCGGCUAACUCCGUGCCAGCAGCCGCGGUAAUACGGAGGGUGCGAGCGUUAAUCGGAAUUACUGGGCGUAAAGGGCGCGUAGGUGGCUUGAUAAGCCGGUUGUGAAAGCCCCGGGCUCAACCUGGGAACGGCAUCCGGAACUGUCAAGCUAGAGUGCAGGAGAGGAAGGUAGAAUUCCCGGUGUAGCGGUGAAAUGCGUAGAGAUCGGGAGGAAUACCAGUGGCGAAGGCGGCCUUCUGGACUGAAACUGACACUGAGGUGCGAAAGCGUGGGUAGCAAACAGGAUUAGAUACCCCGGUAGUC
rnacentral:rRNA from 1 species